rnacentral:lncRNA from 10 species
AACCUGUGGGAGAACCCGGCGAGCUAAGCCAAACGGAGGGCGGGAGAGAGGAAGCGGCAGCUGGCGCCUCUCGGCAACUCUAACCCUCUGAUAGAGAUCGCCAAGAUUGGUAUCCAUAGAGCUUGCUGUGGUUUGAAUGUAUCCCCCAAAGUUCAUGUGUUGGAAACUAUUCUUAAUGCAAAAGUGUUAAGAGAUCCCGGAGAGCUUGUCCACUGCAACAGUGCAACACGCUAAGGGCUGUGUGGCGGCACAGGGGCUCUGAGCUCCUGACCUGAGUCAUGGGGACCUGAAGGCUGACACCCAGCCCUAUACCUACAAGCUGGGUGAGACCCCUGGCAGUUGCCUACACCCCUGCUGAGACCCAGUACCUCCCUGUAAAAUGGGGGAAAUAAUGCCUGCCUCACAGGGUUUCGAUGAAGGGUGAGUGAAAUAAGGAAACAUUUGGAAACCCCUUGGAGGAGAUCUGCCACAUGGCCUCCAGUGAACUGUAGACUCCUGCAUAGCCUUCCAAAGUUCUUCAUUUGGUGAAUAUUAUGAGAAAUGACACGUAUGACUUUCUCCCAAAUACGUGGCUUAAACCCAAAGUACAGUGAAAUCAGAACUGACCACACAGAGUAAUUGGGGCAAGGGAGUUAUUUGUGACACAAAGCCCUCAUCACUUUAUAAAAGUACUUGCUACUGAUUACAUUGAAAACCAGUCUUCCUGAGUAAAACAUGUUUUUUGUUUUGUAUCGUUUUUGUUUUUGUUUUUUUGA